UCUUAAUAAUAUUUUGGACGCGCAGUGUUGUGCCGUUGAACAGUCGCACUGUUUGUCCAUCUCUCACGGGUUGGAGAAACAAUUGUCGAUCAGUCGGUUUCGGAGCGUGCACACUGGUACCCGAAAGAUGGUGAACUAUGCUUGAGCAGAAUGAAGCCAGAGGAAACUCUGGUGGAAGUUCGUAGCGGUGUUGACGUGCAAAUCACUCGUCUGACUUGAGUGUAGGGGCGAAAGACUAAUCGAACCAUCUAGUUGCUGGUUCCUUCCGAAGUUUCCCUCAGGAUAGCUGGCAUUUGUGUGUAACAAUUUUAUCCGGUAGAGCGAAUGAUUAGAGGUGUUGGGAACGCAAUGUUCUCAGCCUAUUCUCAAACUUCGAAUGGGUAAGCAAGGCGAUUUGCUUUGAUCUGUUGAUGAAAUCGCCCAACUUUUUUGUGUUGAAGAAUGUAUAAAUGCCUAGUGGGCCAAUUUUGGUAAGCAGAACUGGCGAUGUGGAAUGAACCAAAAGUCAGGUUAAGGUGCCAGACAUUGGCGCUCAUGAAAUACCAGAAAAGGUGUUGGUCGAUAUAGACAGCAGGACGGUGGCCAUGGAAGUUGGAAUCCGCCAAGGAGUGUGUAACAACUCACCUGCCGAAUCGACUAGCCCUGAAAAUGGAUAGCGUUUGAGCGCCAGGCCCAUACCUGACCGUCUCAGUUACGCACUUUUGUUGUUUCAAUGAUGAAGGUGUAAUGAACGUUGAGACGGGUAGGAAGGUCGCGACAGUGUUGCUUUGAAGAGUUUUGAGCGUGAGCUCGCUCGGAGCCGCUGUUGGUGCAGAUCUUGGUGGUAGUAGCAAAUAUUCAAGUGAGAACCUUGAAGGCUGAAGUGGAGCAAGGUUCCAUGUGAACAGCAGUUGGACAUGGGUCAGUCGAUCCUAAGAAAACGGCGAAAGCUUGUUCGAAUUUACGACAUAAAAAAUGUAAAACUGUGUGUGUGUAGUGUGCUUGUGUGUGUACUAUACUGAUAUAGCAGUAGUGGUGGUGGUGGUUUGUCAGUCAGCAGUGUAGUGUUUGUCUGUGGCAGUGCUGCUGCUGCUGCUGCUGCUGCUGCUGCUAUUGUUUACUUGCUGUUGUUGUGUGUUGUUGUACACACACACCCACACAAUUCUGUGUGCAGUUGUCGUAUGUUUUCGAAAGGGAAUCCGGUUGAUAUUCCGGAACCGAGUAACGGAGACAAAGAGUAGCGCUUUAAUCUUCCGGUUGGCGUUCAACUCAAUCGCGCGGUAACGCAAGCGAACUCGGAAAAUGACCGUCGUGAGUUUCGAAAAGAGUUUUCUUUUCUUUUUAAGGGACGCAUUCCCUGGAACCGGGUUGUCCGGAGAUAGGGAUUCUGGUAUCCAUAAAACGCCGACUCUUUCACGGUGUUCGGAGCGCUCUCGUCGGUACGUGAAAAUCCGAGCGACGCCUGGUAAAUCUCGUACUUGGUCGUACUGAUAUCCGCAGCAGGUCUCCAAGGUGAAUAGCCUCUGGCCGAUAGAAUAAUGUAGGUAAGGGAAGUCGGCAAAACGGAUCCGUAACUUCGGAACAAGGAUUGGCUCUAAGGGCUGGGCCGAUCGGGCUGAGGUUUCAAGCGUGCAGUGUAUGCUUGGCUGAGUUGUGUUGAGGACUUGUUCACUUGCCGCCGUUUGUUCGGUUGGUCUAGUGUAUUCGAGUCUGAAGCAGAGCUGGCCGACAGACCGGCACGUGCAGAACCUGAGCUGCGCGGCUGUCAGUUUAUUUGUACAGACCGUUUCGGUCGGCAUUCAACAGCCAACUUAGAACUGGCACGGACACAAGGAAUCUGACUGUAUAAUUAAAACAAAGCAUUGCGAUGGCCGAUGAUCGGUGUUGACGCAAUGUGAUUUCUGCCCAGUGCUCUGAAUGUCAAAGUGAAGAAAUUCAACCAAGCGCGGGUAAACGGCGGGAGUAACUAUGACUCUCUUAAGGUAGCCAAAUGCCUCGUCAUCUAAUUAGUGACGCGUAUGAAUGGAUCAACAAGAUUCCUUCUGUCCCUAUCUACUAUCUAGCGAAACCACAGCCAAGGGAACGGGCUUGGCAAAAUCAGCGGGGAAAGAAGACCCUGUUGAGCUUGACUCUAGUCUGACUCUGUGAAGAGACAUGAAAGGUGUAGCAUAGGUGGGAGGCUGCAGCCGGGCACUGCUUGCGCGGUGUCUCUGUGGUCGCCAAUGAAAUACCACUACUUUGAUCGUUUCUUUACUUAUUCGGUAAAGCGAAAAAAUUGUGGCCAAUUUUGCGGUCUCGCCGCUGUUGGUCAUUGUUUUAAUGUUGGAUUGAAGCUUCGUUUGUAGCCGUCGUUUUGUGUCGCCGUUUGACGUGCAUUCGCAGUGGUGUGGGUUUCUUGGCUCGCGCGCGGCUAGUGUCGUCAACAGCGGACGACCGGCGAUUGGUUUGAAGUGAUUCGCUCCGGAAACAGUGUCAGACGGGGAGUUUGACUGGGGCGGUACAUCUGUUAAACGAUAACGCAGGUGUCCUAAGGUAAGCUCAGCGAGGACAGAAACCUCGCCUAGAGUAAACGGGCACAAGCUUACUUGAUUUUGAUUUCCAGUACGAAUAAAAACCGCGAAAGCGUGGCCUAUCGAUCCUUUUGAUUGUGUAGAUUUCACGCAAGAGGUGUCAGAAAAGUUACCACAGGGAUAACUGGCUUGUGGCAGCCAAGCGUCCAUAGCGACGUUGCUUUUUGAUCCUUCGAUGUCGGCUCUUCCUAUCAUUGCGAAGCAGAAUUCGCCAAGCGUUGGAUUGUUCACCCACCAAUAGGGAACGUGAGCUGGGUUUAGACCGUCGUGAGACAGGUUAGUUUUACCCUACUGAUGACAAGUCGUUGCGAUAGUAAUCCUGCUCAGUACGAGAGGAACCGCGGGAUCAGACAUUUGGUUCAUGCGCUCGGCUGAAAGGCCGGUGGCGCGAAGCUAGCAUCUGCAAGAUUAUGACUGAACGCCUCUAAGUCAGAAUCUUUUCUAGUCAUUGGCAACGAUAAGUUGCGUCCGGACUCGAUGCGAGGAAACGACUAGGCUUUGUUGU
rnacentral:rRNA from 1 species